rnacentral:lncRNA from 1 species
UGAAAUGUUUAAAAGAAUCUAAUAUAUACUAGUAUUAUUACACAGUUUAAAUUAGUCAAACAGAAAAACAUUCACACAUUCAUUUGGAGGCGUUAAUCCAGUGGAAAGGUUUACCUGGUUAUGAGCAAUCAUGGCUCUAUGUGUGUUUUUUUCAAUAAAUCCUAUCGGCUGAUCCAUGUGAGAGACCAGAUUUUACCUGAAGGGGGAGGGGGGAUGGGGGUAUUGAUAGACCCUUGAGAGUAUACAUCAGGAAGAGAGGCAGAGGAGUUGAGAAAAAAAGGCUUAAUAUGAGAUGACGUGGCAGAGGAAUUGGAGGGAAGUGAAGAUAAUUGAUGGUGAGUGGAGAGAAGUAUAAAUAAUGAGAGUCUGUUGUAGAUAAUUUCUCAUGAAAGUUUGUUAGAGAAGAUUGAAGUCGUGAGAGGGUUUGUCUCUGCGAUUCAGUUUACUCAAGGAGAAGGGUCCUUGGGAUUCACUUUCGAUAUUCAAUAAUACAUGUGUGUCACAGAAUGAGAUCCCAACGUUCCCUUUUAUAGUUUACUUGAUACUUGGAGUGGAAGACUCGAAACUUAGUAACACAAAACAAAGACUCAAAACUUGGAGAGGGAGUCACUGCAUCCAUCUACUGCCGAGCAAUAAAUCAUAUCAAGUUUUUAAAAUCUAAAUCAUCAUCCAAGUUUUUGGGAAAGCUAAAAUCUACGGAAAAAUCAGAAACUAAAAAUUGAAAAACCCAAAAUCUAAAAACUAAAUAAAAAAACAAUAAUAUCAGUUUAAAAUCAAUUUAAAUUUUGGGAAAUAAGAAAAAAGGAAAGAUACAACUAAAAAGGAAACAGUGAACAACAUAUAAACAAACUAUCCAGGUUGCUUAGGUAGAUUGCUUAGAUUAAUUUUGAUUAAAAGAAAAAGAAAAUUAUCUUUUAAUUCAAGCACCGUCGCUUAAUUAGGAACAAUAAGCUACGUUGCUUAUCUCCUUCUCUCUCUCAUCUCUAUCUCUGUCUCUCUCCCCACUUCCUGAAAUCAGUAGAUUUCGAUUCCAAAAUGUCGUGAUUGAUCUCUUCUCUUGGGAUGAUCUCGUCGUCGUCUUUGAUCGUCUCGAGGGAUAGGGUUUGGGUUCGAUCGUAAAAAUUUUAAGCACCCUAAAAUAAGAGCCUUGCAAUGGAGGAGGAAAAAUGUCAAGUUGCUUAGCUAAGUCUCUUACCCAAAUUAUCUCCUUAAAUACUAUUAUUAUAUUAUUAAGCAACCCAUUAUGAGUUGGUAGGAUAAUGAUGCUCUUAGAGAUUGUUUGCUUUUUGUUUAUGAUGGAAAUGCAGAUAACUUCUUGGGGUUUGAGGAGGUGGUCUUCUUAUUCCCUGGAGGAUGGCCGGAUUCUAACAAGUGAAUACUCUUCUUCUCUUCUCCUCUCUUGCCGUAUGUUUUGUGUAUUGAAUUGUCUCCUUUGAAGAACAUAAUAUUGGCAAAAGAAUCUUUAAAAAUUUUAAGCACCCUAAAAUAAGAGCCUUGCAAUGGAGGAGGAAAAAUGUCAAGUUGCUUAGCUAAGUCUCUUACCCAAAUUAUCUCCUUAAAUACUAUUAUUAUAUUAUUAAGCAACCCAUUAUGAGUUGGUAGGAUAAUGAUGCUCUUAGAGAUUGUUUGCUUUUUGUUUAUGAUGGAAAUGCAGAUAACUUCUUGGGGUUUGAGGAGGUGGUCUUCUUAUUCCCUGGAGGAUGGCCGGAUUCUAACAAGUGAAUACUCUUCUUCUCUUCUCCUCUCUUGCCGUAUGUUUUGUGUAUUGAAUGGUCUCCUUUGAAGAACAUAAUAUUGGCAAAAGAAUCUUUAAAAUUUCUAAGCACCCUAAAAUAAGAGCCUUGCAAUGCAAUGGAGGAGGAAAAUGUCAAGUUGCUUAGCUAAGUCUCUUACCCAAAUUAUCUCCUUAAAUACUAUUAUUAUAUUAUUAAGCAACCCAUUAUGGGUUGGUAGGAUAAUGAUGCUCUCAGCUUCUUAUGAAUAAGAUAAAUAAGAAUGCAAAUCUGAAAAUCAAUUGAAACUUUGAGGAAUUACAAAAAAAAAAGGAAAGAAGAAACUAAAAAGGAAAUUAAACAUGAUAAUUUAGUUCAAAAAAAAUUAAACAUGAUAAUCAACAAAAACAAAAGGAAAUAGUGAAAACCCAAAGCGAAUAGUGAACAACCUACUCAAGUAGCUUCAUAUAAAUAAGAACGCUAGAGACUCCUCUCUAAAGCUAUCAUUGAUUCGAUCACUUGUUUCUCAAACCAGAAACAAAACACAAAAUAGAGUCAAAAACCCUAAUUACAGAGAGUGACUAAGAUGGUGAUGAUUAGAGAAGACAACAGCAAAGCUCCGAAUGUCGUUGGCCAAUCUUCUUCAGUACUAGAGUUUGUAUGUUUUCUUGGCCGAGGUAGUUUUGGUUCGGUCGCUCUCAUAAGAGACUCCAAACAAAGGUUACACGCUGAGAAAUCAUCUCCAAUAGCUUACAUGGAGAGUCUCAAGAAAGAGCAUAGGAUCAUGCUUCGUUUCCGUAACCAUCACGCAUCGUCCAAACCACAAACCCUAAUCUUCACAAAGGUUCUUUCUUACUAAGCAAAAGAAAAUUUCAUACCCGUAAUUGUGGUUUCAUCGCCAUGGAUUGAGCUUUGAGUGGUUUUAGGGUUUUGGUUUGUAUGAAAGAAAGAAGAUCAGUAUAUAAAGAAAGAGGAAAAGAGGGAGGUGAAACGAAAUCAUUAAAAAUGUAUUGAUUGAUUGAAACAAAAGUAUUGAUUGUGUAGAAGUGGCUCGAUUAGUUCUCGGCUUCUUUGUUCUUCGAUCGGAGAAGACGAAGUGGUAGAGGUGAGGAGAAUCGUUAUCCUUCGACGGUUUUUUUGGUGAUCUGUAUCCCAUCGGGCAAAUGAAAAUCCGAUAAAGCCCAAAUGGCAAGCUUAUCGGGUGAAGCCCACACGAAAUAUUGCUCGACCGUGAGGUCUGUCUGACGUGUCCAAUUACAUGCUCCUAAUUGGUCUGAAUUAUUGAUCCUACGUGGACACACUCCCUACUCAGUAUAUUGGCCUUUUAGUUUUGUUAGAUAUCAUCGGGGUGUAAUGAUACCUGAUCAAUCGAUGUGCGUACUCCAAAACUGAUGAUGAUUGUUUCCAUGCUUCUAUCCAAAACUCUCCUGUCUACUCCACUUUGAGAAGCCCAAAAAUGAGACCGUGUACUUGUAUUAUUAUUCACCCUAGACUGAGUCAAAACUAACUAUUUGAAACUUGAGGCAAAACGCCUUUCUUCCUUCAGAUGGUCCUCAGGAGAACAAUUUCUAACACCAGGACCAAAGUUAUAAAGUGAAGCUCUAAAAUAAUAUCGAUAUCCAAUAUCCCACCGAGAUAAACAACAAUAAAACAAUACCAUUAUAUUCUUAUUUCUCAUAAUCCAAAGAAGCCACCAUUUUAAGCACGAUACGACUACAGAUGCUUGCAACUUAAUCAAUGUUUGGGACCCAAAAUUUCAACUCAAAAAAUCUCGAACUUAUUAUUAUUAUUGUACACAAUAAUCCCAUGAUGGCGAAGAAACCAUAACCCCAUAAGUUUUGUAUCUUCUAAAAAUUGCUACCCUUUUCCACAAAAAGACCAUCAUACACCAAUCUGGAUGCGUUAGGAAGAUCAUGCACUUGCACCCUUAGCCAUACUUUCCCUCUUGUACCCAACCCAUCGAAAUGAAUCACCAAAAGAAAAGCUUUUCCAUCCAGCUGGUUGUACUGGAACAGUGUCUUUAGUUGGUUUGAUGAGACCAAACUAAAGCCGUAACCCUCUGUAACCGGUAUCCCUGAUUCUUGCCAGUUCCUGAAAUUUUUUAUCAUAUAAGCAAUGUACUCCAAAGCUCCAGCAAUUGUACCAUAACAUAAGUGACUUCCUUCGACGGUUUUUUUGGUGAUCUGUAUCCCAUCGGGCAAAUGAAAAUCCGAUAAAGCCCAAAUGGCAAGCUUAUCGGGUGAAGCCCACACGAAAUAUUGCUCGACCGUGAGGUCUGUCUGACGUGUCCAAUUACAUGCUCCUAAUUGGUCUGAAUUAUUGAUCCUACGUGGACACACUCCCUACUCAGUAUAUUGGCCUUUUAGUUUUGUUAGAUAUCAUCGGGGUGUAAUGAUACCUGAUCAAUCGAUGUGCGUACUCCAAAACUGAUGAUGAUUGUUUCCAUGCUUCUAUCCAAAACUCUCCUGUCUACUCCACUUUGAGAAGCCCAAAAAUGAGACCGUGUACUUGUAUUAUUAUUCACCCUAGACUGAGUCAAAACUAACUAUUUGAAACUUGAGGCAAAACGCCUUUCUUCCUUCAGAUGGUCCUCAGGAGAACAAUUUCUAACACCAGGACCAAAGUUAUAAAGUGAAGCUCUAAAAUAAUAUCGAUAUCCAAUAUCCCACCGAGAUAAACAACAAUAAAACAAUACCAUUAUAUUCUUAUUUCUCAUAAUCCAAAGAAGCCACCAUUUUAAGCACGAUACGACUACAGAUGCUUGCAACUUAAUCAAUGUUUGGGACCCAAAAUUUCAACUCAAAAAAUCUCGAACUUAUUAUUAUUAUUGUACACAAUAAUCCCAUGAUGGCGAAGAAACCAUAACCCCAUAAGUUUUGUAUCUUCUAAAAAUUGCUACCCUUUUCCACAAAAAGACCAUCAUACACCAAUCUGGAUGCGUUAGGAAGAUCAUGCACUUGCACCCUUAGCCAUACUUUCCCUCUUGUACCCAACCCAUCGAAAUGAAUCACCAAAAGAAAAGCUUUUCCAUCCAGCUGGUUGUACUGGAACAGUGUCUUUAGUUGGUUUGAUGAGACCAAACUAAAGCCGUAACCCUCUGUAACCGGUAUCCCUGAUUCUUGCCAGUUCCUGAAAUUUUUUAUCAUAUAAGCAAUGUACUCCAAAGCUCCAGCAAUUGUACCAUAACAUAAGUGACUUGUAUAUGAAGAAAGAGCUCCAAAAGAUAUGAGCUCCAAACUCAUAGAAUAAUCACAAAACAAUACGCCAAUAAAACCAACAGACCCUAAACCAUUGAAUGCUCAUAGAGACUAUUAAGAUAAAAGAAAAUAAAAAACCAGAAACUGAAAACCGCCAACAAUGCCCAUCGAUCAUGUUCUUCCUUAAUAUGAAAUGAUGAAACCACCCCCACGAUAUCCAUCUUUCCCUUAACAUAUCUUCCCAGACCUUCAUCCUGAUGAGUAUCAAACCGAAUCUGCACCGCUUUAAUCCUUUGAUUUCCAAAAUCCCCAUCUCGAAAAGGCAUCGGUGCCCUAGUUCUCAUUCGCCAUCGCCUUUGCCGUCAUCUUCUCUACAAUUCUCAUGUCUCGUUUCUAUUGUUUAUUUUUUCUUUGAGUUCUGUUUAUAAAUGUGUUUAUCAUAUAACAAAGUCUUCUCGAAGUAUUUGGGUUAAUAUAACAUUUCCUAUCAAAUUUAAAUUAGACUAACUAAUUUUCCAAUCGAUUCUAAACAUGCCACAUUGGUGAAAUUGGGUUCUAAUUAACUGUCACAUCACCAAGUUUAAUUUGUAAAUAUUACAAACGGUAAGGUUACUAUUUUUUAAAUGAUUUUUAAUUAAUAUAUAAGAGAUAUUCUAAAAGACUCAUAUCUGAGCGUCUACACUUUAAGUUGCGUCUACUACUGAAAGUUUCAACUAUUAUCAGCAAAGUAUAACAUCUACGGUGUCCUCUAUAACCUACUAAUGGUAGAAUCUAUUUUCUACUGGAUUUUAAAAAAAAAUUAGUUAAAAAACGGUUGGUAAAAUAUUUAGCAGAUCUUGAAAGUAUUUUCUUUACUUUUGGGAAGAAUCUUUUUAAACUCACCUCAAAGAAAAAAAACAUAUGCCAUCAUCCUCUUUUACUCUUGUUAUCUUCAUGAUGUCACCCAAAUUACACUGGAGUUUAAUAAGAUUUUACAAAACCAGCAUGUCUGGUUCCUCAAUCAUAAAAUGUGACAAUUUAACAAUUAUAAAAUCUAAUUAACUUUGAAACUUUGCUGAGGUGUUUGCGUUUGUCUUCACACAUAAAAUCUAAUCACAUUGGUUUCACACAUUUUGUAAUUGAUAUGUUCUCGUGGCUGAACAAAGAAUCAAAUCCAGAAAUCAAGUUAAGAUUGAACACUAUUGUUGUUGACUCGAAAUAAAACCAAUCAACCGUUUAGAAAAUAUUGAAACAGAGACAAAUUUGUGAAACACUAUUGUUUGUGCAUUAGUAGAAACUGACGCCAUCCAGCGAAAGAAAUCACCACGAUUAAGUUGAGAAAGAUAGAGAACUGAAAACCCAGAAUGAAAAAAAAAAGCUCAAACUUCACAGGUCGGAAAAAAGGCUUCUACAACGAAAGAAAUCACCUCUUCUUGGUUGGUUGGAUGGAGUGGUGAAAAGAAGUAAUAGGGUUAACGUCGAUUUUUUUACCUAAAUCACUUUUACGAUUUAACACAUGUAAAAAAUAAUAUAUAAAAAUUUAUUUUGAAUAAAAACUUAAUUGUACAAUUAGAGGGUUAGAAUGGGAUUAACAUUAAUAUUAGUUCUAAGUGAACAAGAACUCCUAAAAUGAUUCUAAGGAGACAAAAUAUUAGUUUUUUAAUUCCUUUUUAGCAAAAUUCCCUAAUUUAAAAGAGAAUAGUUUCUCUAACUUUCAUUUAUAACAACAGAAAAACGUCUUUUAUAAGAUUUAUUGUUUUGUAACAUAAUUAAGAAAACAUAUAAAUAUUACGAAGUUUAGUUUUAAUAAACUCAUAACAGAUAAACAGAAAAUAUUAGCAAAAUAAAGUGUAUAUUUUUCUCUGGAUAGUGUUUUAAAAUUUUUGAAUAAGAAGAGAUGAAGACAAGUGUUAUGUUUUUAAGUGUUAUAGUUCUUGUUUCAUCGGGUAAAUUUAUCUUUGGUAAGUCAGGAGAAUAUAUAAAAUAUUGUAGUCUUUAUUAACAUAUUAAUUAACUGAUUAAUUUGGUAUUUGUUUUGCAAUUCUCUUAGGUGCGACGAAUACAAUGAAAAUAUUUUGGAAGAGAGGACCCAUAUUUUCAGUCCAACAGCAACUCCUCUAAUGAAUGUUCAGAUAAACGAAGACGAAUAUCGUCAAGGUUACAUAGGUUUUUGUCAUGAUUGUGCUUGGGCUUGUUUUCGCAGAAAUAAGUCUUUGGCAAGAUGUAAAAAAUUUAAGUGUCGUUGCUCUUAAAAGCAGAAAUAAGUCUUUGGCAAGAUGAAAUAAGUCUUUGGCAAGAUGUAAAAAUGCUCAGAUACUCUAACGAGCUAAAAUUUAUUCCGUCAUGCUUUUAUUAAUUCUCACAUACUCAUUACUCUUAAUAAAAUAAGAGAUUUUUCAGUUUUGUCUUUACGUUUUCCCUCUUCAAUUGAAAAUUUAAAUUUUGAAUUUUAGGUAUCAAAUUCAUAAUUUGAAUUUUGAAUUUUAGUAAAACUAUAAACCAAGUUGAACCAAGUUACACCAUUGUCGAAGUAUAAAUUUGGUAUAACUAUGUCCUAGUUUUACUAAAUUAUACCUCGAAGAUGGUAUAACUUAGUAUGACUAGGUUCUAGUUUUACCAACUUGUACCUUGACAAAGGUACAACUUGGUAAAACUAGAACCUAGUCAUACAGUUUUACCAAUUUACACGACAGAUAAUGUAAUUUGGUAAAACUGUUUUUCUAAGGUUUGUAGUUUUACUUUCGUGUUCUAUUUUGAUAUCUGCAUUUCUGAAUCUUAAAAAUCGAAAAUACAAAAAAGUAGAUCGAAGAUGACGAAAAGAAUAGAUGAAUGAAUAGGCAGAGAAGAAGGAAGAUAAGGCAUAAAAGGAUAAGGAAGAAGAAACGGAGAUGAAGGAGGAGGAAAAGGUGGCGGAGAAGAAAGAUGAAGAAAAUGCGUAAGAUGAGUACGAAGAAGAAGCAGAAACAGAGGAGAAGAAAGAGGAAGGGAAAUAGGCGGAGGAGAAGAACAAAGAGAAUGAGGAAAAAAAAGAAGAAGAGAAACAUGGAUCUAGAAUUUAAGAGAAGGAGGGAAUAGAUGGAGGAAUAUGCAGAGAAGAAGGAAAAUGAGGCAGAAGAGGAGAAGGAGGAAAAAACGGAGAUGAAAGAGGAGGAAAGGCGGCAGAGAAGGAAGAUGAAGAGAAAAUAGAAGAGGAGCACAAAGAAGAAGCAGAAACAGAGGGGAAGAAAGAGGAAGAGAAAUAGGCCGAGGAGGAGAAAAAUAACAAGAAGAAGGAGAAAAAAAGAGAAAAAUGAGAAGGAAAAGAAGAACAAUAGAGAGAGAGAUUAGAAUUGAAGAAGAUAAAAGAGAAUAAAAAAAAGAAACAUGGAUCUAGAAUUUAGGAGAAGGAAGUUGAAUCAAAAAAGGAGGUUGGUAAAAAAAAAGGAAAUUGAAUAAAUGCUAUAUUCCGUAAAUAGGUGAAUUCAUAGAUCAAUUGAACUUCUACUUAUUUUUUAAAUUAAAAAUAAAUGAAAAAAAAAGAAUUGAAAGAAAAGAGUAUAUGAGAAUAUAAUUUUUGGAUCAGGAGUAUGUCAGCAAUUGAUUCUGUAUACUCGAGAGGAUCAAUACGUUUUUCAACCAAAAGCAAAAGAUAAAUUGUAUGCCCAUUAACAAACAUUCUCUUGAAAAAUACAAAUUUUACAAGUACUAGGGGGUCGAAAAUCUUGGUCCAGAGACUUUUCAAACAGCGUAGACCAUUUUAGACACACAACUAAUUUUAGACACUUAGUGUUCCAAAUAUUGUUAUUAUAGUGUUGUUCCCCAACUAUUGUUGAUAUAAUUUAGCGCAUAAAACAUAUGUUUACUGGGCAUUAGUCCAAGGUUGCCAUUAUGUAUACUAAUCCAGACAUUAUGUAUUAUGUACUGUGUGUGUGCGCAGUCACAGGGUACACAAAAUUAUAUGGUCUAACUAAAUUAAUUUAUUUAAUCAGAAUUAUAAAAGGAAUUGUCUUUCUCUAUUGUUUGUUUUUAUUUUUCAAAUAAACAACUUCUGUUUGCUCAUUUAUAAGAUUUGUGCAAUCUGAAUUAUUUUCAGAUAGUUGUAAAUACGUAAUAUAUUAAAUAUAUGUCAGUUACAUAUAAAAAUGAGGAAUUCCUUAGAGAUCGAUAUAUUCUCUUGUAACUUUAAGUUUGUACAGUGAUGCAUAUAGUAUUUUAGCAAUAAAAGAUUUUGUUAUUACAGUGAUGCAUAUAGUAUUUUUUGAUACUUAUUUGAGGAUCAUUUAAAAGUUUGUGCUAAUUAAAAAUAGAUUCUGCUUAGAUGUCAUUUAAUUACGAUGACAAUUUAACUUACGUAGCAGCUUAAUAAUCAAUUGAAAAAAAAUGUUGGUUCAAAUCCAAUUACUAAGGAAACAUUAUAUUAACCUAAAAUAUAAGAAACAUGUAUUAUUUUCUUAAAUAAAACCUACAGAAUUACCUAUUGAUUAACAUAUACAUGGUGACUAAUGAAUAUGAAUAAUAAAGAUUUGAUAAAAAAUUUGCAUCCUUCUUCAUUUUUGUUUAAUUUUAUAUUAUUUAAAAAAUAACAAUAACAUUACCUAUAUAAUAAAAAAAAUAGUUUUUUUUUAUGUUAUAUUUUGAAUUUUUUAAAAUGACUUUAAAUUACAAAAAUGAAGAAACCUUAUAUGUUAUAUUUUAAACUUUUUAAAAUGACUUUAAAUUACAAAAAUGAAGAAACCUUAUAUGUUAUAUUUUCUAAAUGUUAGAUUUUUUCUUAUAUAUUAUAUUUUGAAUUUUUUAAAACGAUUUUAAAUUACAAAAAUGUAAGUUUUCCUUAAUCAUAUGACUAAAGACAUUAAAAUGACAUUUAUCAAUUCGAUGGUUGAUCUGAAACCUUUCAAAACCAUAUGGAAGAUAAAUGUCAAAAUAAUUCAACUAUGGAAACAAAACUGUUCAUUUUUUUCAAAAAUGUGUUAUGUGGAAAAUAAUGAGGUUUUUGUGUCAUAAUUUGUUUAAUGUCCAAUUCGAUCAACCUAUGAUAUAUUAAUUAUAGUUUAGUUCCACAAUUUUUAAUAAAAAUUGAUCCGGUCUAUCGGAAAAAAAUUAUAUAAUAACAAUAAAAAACAUUGUAUAUGUAUAAAUAAAAUGAUCAAAUAUAUAAAAAAAAUAUCGAUAAUAUAUACAAAUAAACUCACCCUGCGCAAGACACAAGUCUUAUCCUAGUAACAUAUAUAUUAGAUUUGAUCGUAAAACUGAACCAUAUAUUAGAUUUGAUCGUAAAACUGAACCAAAUAUAUUCUCUUGUUUUAUUAAAAUCAAGUAAUCUGGUACCUAUUUGAGACCACAAGGUAGUACCAAAAAGUUUACUAUUCUAACACCAAUAUUUGUUUUGCUAUAUAUAUUCAGUCGCUUUGUAUCACAUAAAGUACCAAUAAAGAAAACAUUUGAUUCAUAUAGUAUUUUAGCAAUAAAAGAUUCUCUAAAUAUCAUUAUGAUCAGUGCUUACUAAUGUAAUAGCUUUUUAAUGUAUUGCUAAGAUCGAUGUUUUAUAUGAUAGAUAUACUUUUAAAGCAAGUGUUAUAAUUUAAAGAGAAUAGUUUCUCUAACUUUCAUUUAUAACAAUAGAAAAACGUCUUUUAUAAGAUUUAUUGUUUUGUAACAUAAUUAAGAAAACAUAUAAAUAUUACGAAGUCUAGUUUUAAUAACUGCACAACAAAUAAACAGAAAAUAUUAGCAAAAUAAAUUGUAUAUUUUUCUCUGGAUAUUGUUUUUAAAUUUUUGGUUAAGAAGAGAUGAAGAUAAUUGUUAUGUUUUUAAGUGUUAUAGUUCUUGUUUCAUCGGGUAAAUUUAUCUUUGGUAAGUCAGGAGAAUAUAUAAAAUACUGUAGUCUUUAUUAACAUAUUAACUGAUUGAUUUGGUACUUGUUUUACAAUUCUCUUAGGUGCGGUGAAUACAAUGAAAAUAUCUAAUUUGGAAGAGAGAACCCAUAUUUUCAGUCCAACAGCAACUCCUCUAAUGAAUGUUCAGAUAAACGAUUUACAAGACGAAUAUCGUCAAGGUCACGGAGGUUUUUGUCAUGAUUGUGCUCUGGCUUGUUAUCGCAGAAAUAAGUCUUUGGCAAGAUGUAAAAAUUUUAAGUGUCGUUGUACUUGGCAGGAUCUUCAUUAAGACGAUCUAAUGUAUUUCAAACAUUUAUAAACAAAAGAUAAUUAACAAUAUACUGAAUUUUUUUUUAAUGUGCAUCUGCUUUACACAUGUAUACUCUGAGUGGAUCAAUAUGUUUCUCAACCAUAUACUUUUUUUCUCUCUCCUACCCCCGAUCUCUCUCCCCUCUCUUCUUCUACCCUUCGCCGUCACUGACAUUCGUUUUUUUUCCGGCGGCCGCUCCGUGUUUGAACCGAAAACGGUGUGUUUGUCGGAUUCAUACAAUGAAGAAUUUAAGAAAUAAAUUUCUUAUAUUCUUGAGGUUUAAGAGAAAUCAACAUAGAAAUCAAAUGGAAGAUGAAUAUCAAAAAUAAUUUAAUGAUCAAAGAUUGUAUUACAUGUAUGAUUACAAGAGUAAAGUAAAUCUAAGAAUCCAUAAACUCUUUAUAAGAGAGUGUUCUAAGUCUAGAAUGGAGAAGAGAAGAUCACUUAACGAGAAGCUUGUGCCGGUUGUGUCAAACUUGUCUUGAGAGUUCGCUUGAUGAAGAAGCAAAACCUUGCCGCUACUGAGUUCUUCUUGAGACCUUCUAUGAGAAUAGAUACUUUUUUUAAGACAUCGAAGGAAAAGUUUUCGACCGUUGUCGAAGUGAAUGCAGAUUUCUUUAUUUAUACAAAGAAGAAGCUAGAGCUUCAUAGUAAAAUGAGCAUAAUUUAUUGCCUAAUGGGUCUUGAGAUAGGAUGUAGAUCCACCCCCAACAGUAAGCCCCCCAAGUUCGUAGAGAGAGAUGAAGUCGAUCUCUGUGAACUUUACGAAUAUGGUUUAUUAGACAAUUAAUUAGACACAUUCAUGCCUAUAACGAUUUAGGCGAGUUUAAUUUGAACUUGUGCUUAGUAAAAGGCGAGUUUGCUUUAAACUCGUGCUUAGCGAAAGACGAGUUUACUGGACUCAUGCUGAGGCAAAAGCGAGUUUACUGAGAACUUGUGCCUAGUAAAAGGGGAGUUUCUGUAAACACAUGCCUAGCCAAAGGCGAGAUUUUGUAAACUCGUGUCUAACAAUAAGCGAGUCUAAUGUAAAUUCGUGCCUAAUAAAAAGCAAAUUCAAUUUAAACUCGUGCCCAAAAUACAAGUUUACCGAACUAUUGCCGACCCGAAGUCUCGUGUUGAGAUCGUAAGUGCCGAGCAAGUUGUUGGCUUGUAUGUUCGUCAGGCUGUGAUGACGUUUGAGAAACUUUCUGUUUGCUGUUAAGAGAAACAUGACGUGUCCAGGAUCAGAGUGACCGGCAAGGGCAGCGUCUCGUAGAGCAACGUCUCUGGCAAGGGUAGCGGUUAACACGAGCAGCAACGCUCUGUCUUACAGAAAACAUGAUGAUGAUCAGAUUAAGAUUCACCAAAAGAAAUAAUCAAGUUUUGUGUAAUCAAUAAGCAAGUGGCAAAACUUGUUUUACUCAAAGCUUCACAAGUUGCAUAUAGUAGUAAUUUAUUUACAACUAAACAGUUUGCACAGGUUGCAAGCAAUGAAGCAAUCAAGGUUAUAGAGCACUUAUCUUUGAUUGAUGAGUGAAGAAGCAAGACCUUGCCGCCGCUGAGUUCGCUUCAAGCUAUGAUUCAGUUUUCCAAAGGGAUAGAAGAAAACAGAGAACGUGUCCAGUGCAGUGAAACACAACCAGAUGGCAAGCUUGUGCGAAUUGCCUCUGUCGCCGAGAGGCUUUGUUGUUACGUCGAGAUCAACAUGACGAGAAGGCUUCUUGGAGAGAUGAUACGAAGAUUAGGACAUGUCUCAUGCGCUGUUCCUUCUUAACGAGAAGCUUGUGCCGGUUGUGUCAAACUUGUCUUGAGAGCUCGCUUGAUGAAGAAGCAAGGCAAGACUGAGUUCUUCUUGAGACCUUCUAUGAGAAUAGAUACUUUUUUUUAAGACAUCGAAGGAAAAGUUUUCGACCGUUGUCGAAGUGAAUGCAGAUUCCGGCAAGAUACUGAUAUCAAGUGCAGAACUUCAUGAUAAAGCUUCAUGAUAAAGUUUCAAACUUUCUCUUUGGCUUCAGCAGGAGCUCUGAUCAGGCGAGGCGAUAUAUGUCCCGAGGAGGAGGAGAUCAUAUGAAGGUUGGAAGCCGAGAUCCAACACAGGCUGAGUUCGGCACGUGAUUAAACUCGAGACGUGGCAGUGGAGAAGCGCACCCUUUGCUGUCUUUUUUUUCGCUGGCCUUUCCGAUUUGUUACCUUCUUGGAUCGACAGAUGGAAGGAACUGGAAUCGCUUCUGCUUGUUAGCAAACGGUUUGAGGAUACCUUGUGAGAUUGUCUGAUGUUGAAUCAUCUCAAUCUCGCCAGCAACCCGUGUUCUGUUCGAAUCCCCUAACGCCCUGUUGCUGAAGGCAACGAUGGAGCAGGGCAAACUAGGGCUGAUCUCUGUCAUCGUCCUUCUCUUGUGGCCGCGAGAUCCCGAUAACCUUCCAAGCCUCUGGCUUGAUUUCGAAAAACCCAGUCCAUCUUAACGCCUCUGAGAAAAUCGCGUGGACCGGAAAGAAGCUCGUGCAGGUGCCGUCGCUUCUGAUGAGAAUCUUCGGCUCUUUGGUGGGUUCGUGUUCUUCGCGACUCUCACUUGACCUUGAAAGACCCAGUUCAUCGCAACACAUCUGGGGAGAUCGUGUUUCACGGGCCGGGAAGAAGCUCGAGCAGUCCGAGAAGAGCAGUCCCAGAAGCUUCACCGGCGGACCGAGACCGAAGCAGCACCACAGACCUUCUCCGGGAGGAAGCAACGGAACUGCCAUCGCGAAUUAGAGGAUGUCCAGGUCUUCUAUUUUAUCGGAUCAUGAACUUGUGUGGAGGAGAAAGAAAGCUUCAUCCUUUUUUUUUUUUUUAUGAAAGUAUGUUUAUUAAUCUAAGAAGAGGAGAAGAUCCUUUCUCAUAAAGAGGUAGCUUCUUAUUUAUAGAAAGAUGAAGCCUAGGGCUUCCUAGCAAUAUGAGCUAGUUCAAUGUCUAAUGGGCCUUGAAGAGGAUAUAAAUCCAUCCCCAACAGUAAGUCCCCCAAGUUCGUUGAGAGAGAUGAAAUCGAUCUCUGCGAAGUUUACGAAUAGGGUUUAUUAGACAAUGAACUAGACAUACUCAUGCCUAUGACGGUUUAGGCGAGUUUAUUUCGAACUUGUGUCUAGUAAUAAGCGAGUUUGCUUUAAACUCGUGCUUAGUGAAAGACGAGUUUACUUGACUCCUGCUAAGACAGAGGCGAGUUUACUGAGAGCUCGUGCCUAGUAGAAGGAGAGCUUUCUGUAAACUCAUGCCUAGCCAAAGACGAGUUUCUGUAAACUCGUGUCUAACAAUAAGCGAGUCGACCACAAACUUGUGCCUAAUAAAAAGCAAGUUCAAUUUAAACUCGUGCCUAAAAUACAUGUUUACCGAACUAUUGCCGACCCGAAGUCUCGUGUUGAGAUCGUGUGUGCCGAGCAAGUUGUUGGCUUGUAUGNNNNNNNNNNNNNNNNNNNNNNNNNNNNNNNNNNNNNNNNNNNNNNNNNNNNNNNNNNNNNNNNNNNNNNNNNNNNNNNNNNNNNNNNNNNNNNNNNNNNNNNNNNNNNNNNNNNNNNNNNNNNNNNNNNNNNNNNNNNNNNNNNNNNNNNNNNNNNNNNNNNNNNNNNNNNNNNNNNNNNNNNNNNNNNNNNNNNNNNNNNNNNNNNNNNNNNNNNNNNNNNNNNNNNNNNNNNNNNNNNNNNNNNNNNNNNNNNNNNNNNNNNNNNNNNNNNNNNNNNNNNNNNNNNNNNNNNNNNNNNNNNNNNNNNNNNNNNNNNNNNNNNNNNNNNNNNNNNNNNNNNNNNNNNNNNNNNNNNNNNNNNNNNNNNNNNNNNNNNNNNNNNNNNNNNNNNNNNNNNNNNNNNNNNNNNNNNNNNNNNNNNNNNNNNNNNNNNNNNNNNNNNNNNNNNNNNNNNNNNNNNNNNNNNNNNNNNNNNNNNNNNNNAUAAAAAGAAAAAAAAAAUAUAUAUAUAUAUAUAUGUUUCUCAACCUAAAGCAAAAUAUAAAUUGUAUGCCCAUUAACAAACAUUCUCCUGAAAAUACAAAUAUUACGAGUAGGCCUGAGCUGGAUCCGGAUAUCCAGGAAAUUUGGGGUACCCGGAUCAGUGGGUUUAUUAUCCGGAUCCGGAUUCGUGGCUUCCGGAUAUCCCUCUCGAUAUUCUAUUACCCGCUGAUAUCCGGAUCCGUAAAAAUAACUAAAAAAUAAUAUUUUUUAAAAAAAAUACUAUUUUUUAAUAUAUUACCUAAAUUAAAUAUUUAUACAAGAUUUAUAAAUAUAUUUAUAUAUGUCUAUAAUAUUGUAAAAACUAAAAUAUAAUAUUACAAGAUUAAUUCAUGUAUAAAUAUUAAUUUAUCAAAUAUAAAAAUUAAUAAAAUUUAAAAAUUAAUGUGUUUUAAAAAUACGGAUCCGGAUCCGGAUAUCCGGACCUAAAAAUUAAGAUAUCCGGAUCCGGAUUCAGCUUGCACGGAUCCAAGAUUUUACUAUCCGGAUUCGGAUCCGGGCACCCCAGACAUCCUAUUUUCGGAGCGGAUCCGGAGCGGAUCUUGGAUCGUAUCCAGAUCUCGGAUAAUAAGUCUCAAGCCUAAUUACAAGUAUUAGGGGUCAAAAUGACGUGAGGUGACAAUAGUGUUCUAAAGAGCCGGUGAGUCUCUACGUUAGUUAAACUAGUUUUACAGAUUUAUUCUGUGUUUUGCAUGAGGACAAGUAAAAUAAUAAGUUCGGGGAAUUGAUAUGUUAUAGAUUUUACAUGUUUUCACCUGUUAUAUAAGUAUGUUUUUAGAGUCUUUUAUAUGCAUUUGGAGUUGUUUUAGAGUCUUUUAUGUUCUAGUUACUUAUUAAAUAUAAUUGGAGCUUUUGGAUCAUUUUGGAGCUUUUGAGGAAAGAUUUGUUGAAGACUUGAGUCAGAGAUUGUGCCUAGGAGAAGCAUCGAUAGACACUACAAUUGAAAUAUCGAUCGACACCCAGUCGUCCGCGAGUUUAAUGACGAUCUGAAGAAAUUACAAUUUUUGCCCAGACGUUCUAAUAAUUGCACAACAAAUCAUUAGUCGCAUGUUAGGAUAUUUAUUACGGUUUUCUAUUGUUUUGUAAACAACACUUCUUUUACGCUUUUCUACGCUUUGGAUGCACACUUUAUACCUUUCUAGAGAGAGAGAGCAUAAGAUUGGAGAGAGUGAUCUGAACACCUUCUGAGAGAAUAUCUUGAAUUCCUUUGUUUCUUUAUUAUUUUCUUUAUUUUAUCUAUUUUAUUAUUAUUCAGACUGUCAUCAUGUUUUCUAUGAAUAUGCUUGAGUAGUUCUAUUGUUAAAUAGGGUUCUUCAAAGGUUAUCUGAUGAUUUGCUAAAUCUGUGGUGUUAUUAGGGUGAUUUAAUUAGUUAUUCAUCUAGUUGUUCUUAUUGUUAAGUCUAGGAUUGAUCACCCUGAACUUAGAUCUUAGGAUUGAUUGGCGCAAACGAGAGUUUGGUCUGUUUCCUGAACGAAACUAGGAUGAUUUAAUUAGCUAUGUACAUACAAGAGUUUAUCUAGGUGAUUAGAAAACCUAUCAAACUUAUUCGCUAUAGCUUGUUAGAAGUAGUAUCAAUCGUCACUCCACAAGAGGUAUCGAUCGACACUGAUUCACAUACGAGAGUUAGACUUCUAGGUCUAACCAUUAGAUAAUCCUUACAUACGAAAGUUUCUAUAUUAUAAUCCAAGUUUGAAUUCGAGAAUAAGUCAUAUAAUAAAUCCCUAAUAACUUUUCUAGUUUACAUACCUAUCAUACCUGAGAUUUCACGUAAGUCUAGUUUUUUCCCUCAUCUUGAUAAAUUACAAAUACUAUCAUUUAAUUCUCUGUUUACUGCUUUCUGUAUUACUUUCUAGUUUUAAUUCAAAAGAAAUAAGCCUAUUGUGUAUCGUAGAGUCUCUGUGAAUUCAAUCCCUAAGUACUACAACUGAACUUCUUAUUUGAGAGAGUAAGUUGCUUUAGGGUUAAUUUGACAAAAUCAUUGUUCAACAAAUAAGAAGUCAGAGUCUAGAUUUAAAAGAAGUGUCGGUCGACACCUCUUCCUUGGUGUCGCUUGUCACCCGCACGAGUAGACAAACCGACUUACUUCAAGAUCGACUUAGGCCCAGAAGCUUCCACAUAUUACACGAUUACCCUACCAACUUUAUACCUAAUAUAUAUAGUUUUUAAGCCAUUGUUUAGGAAGACACACUGUAGAAAACAUAUUUAUUAGAAGCUUUUAGUUUAGAGAGAAGAUCAAGACUCCUUCAGAAAUUUGUAUUGGAACUUCAAUAUUUCUUACUUUAUCUAUUUAUGCAAUUCAUUCAGUUCAUCUUUAUGCUUUGCUUAAUUAUGUAUGAGUAGUGACCUUGUUAGAUUUAGGGUUUAUUAAGAUUUUGAUGAAUUAUUAAAACUAGGGCUGGGCAAAAAAUCCGAAUCCGAAGAACCGAACCGAACCCGAUCCGAAAAAGUAGUACCGAAUCCGAACCGAAAUUGAUUAAAUAUCCGAACGGGUUCAAAAUUUUGGUAUCCAGAGAACCGAAACCGAACCCGACCCGAACCGAAGUAUUUCGGGUACCCGAAUGUAUCCGAAAUAGAUUUAUAUAUCUAAAUAUAUUAAUUAUUUUUAGAUUCAAUGUAUAUUAAAAACAUUCAAAAUAUAUAAGAUACUUUUAAGUUGUCUAAAAUACUUGAAAAUAUAUACAAAUAUUCAAAAGUAAAUUUCUAAAAUAGUAUAAAAUAUACUCAAAACACCAAAAAUAGUUGAAAUGUCUACUGAUUGUCUAUCAAAAUUUUCAAACAAACUAAUUUAUAUGUUAAGUUUAGGUACUCUCACAUAUGUUAUUCAAGUUUAUAUGUUAUAUAGUAUUUUAUUUACAGAUUUUGAGAAAUUGAAACUAUACAUUGAAUUUUAAAAUUUUAAAAAUCAUUUAAAUGGGUUAUCCGAACCCGAACCGAACCCGCAAAGAUCCGAACCGAACCCGAACCGAAAUUUAGAAAUACCCGAAUGGAGCUAAAAUCUUUAACCCCGAAAACCCGAAACCCGAAUAAACCCGAACCGAACCCGAAUGGNNNNNNNNNNNNNNNNNNNNNNNNNNNNNNNNNNNNNNNNNNNNNNNNNNNNNNNNNNNNNNNNNNNNNNNNNNNNNNNNNNNNNNNNNNNAUAUAUAUCUCAUAAUUCUAAUUUCCUGAAACUCUAAGUCUAGCGUAUUUUCCAUAUUAACUUACAACUGAUAUUUACCGCUUUAUUUAGUGCUUUUAAUAUUCUUGCAUAUCUUAAUCAUAAUUCAUAUCGUCUAUUGUGUGCCCACGAUCCAUGUAGAUUUGAUCCUUAAGUACUGCAAUUGAUCUCUUAUUUGAGAGAGAUAGUUAGAUCUAGUGUAAUUUCAGCUUGCAUCACCAAAGUAAAGCCUACACUUUUAUUUAAGAAAUGAGGUUAGUAGAGACACUAUAGGUGAGAUGUGGUAUGGAAAGGUUUCUAGGCUGGGUUUAGUACAUGGAAAUCCCUCAGAUGUGGUUGCAACAUUGUAGAGGUGAUGGUGGUGUUUUAAAAAGCUGGUGAGUCCCUAUGUUUUCAAACCUUUUCCACAGGUUUAUUCUAUAUUUUGCUUGAAGACGAGCAAAAUGAUAAGUCUGGGAGAGUUGAUAGGUCCCAGAAUUUACCACUUUUAGGCCAUGUUAUAGGCCAUAUUUAGAGUCUUUCUUAUGCAUUUCGAGUUAAUUUUAGGUCGUUUUCAGUUUUAGGCACGUUUUGGGAACUUUGGAGAUUUUGGAACUUUUUGAGAUGCAAAACUGCGUAAAUAGGUCAGAAGUUUUAGAAAUGGAUGGAGGACUUCCCACAGUGCGAUUGAGCUAAUAUUUUGAUACAAAAUAGAGCUUUGAGUUAGAUUUUGAAUUCCACCUGUUUGAGGUCAAUCAGGAUCCUAGAUUGAGUUAUGAUUAUUUUACUGAAGAAUGGUUAGUCUGAUACUCGAGAGGAAGCUGUCGAGGUUGUGGCUUAGCAGCGAACGAUGCCCUCUGAGAAAUGAACGACGCUCAUACUGACCAAGUGCCCGGCAAGUUUUAAUGAAGUUUUAAGAAUUGCAGUUUGGCCUCAAACCUUCCCUUAUGUACAAAAGAGCCCACAACAUGUUUUAACCUAUAUUAUCUAUCUUGUAGCCAUUGUUGAUGCCAAGCUUUGUUUUAGAUUGGAGAGAAGAGAAAAACUCCGUAAAAGUUUUCUUGGAACUCAUGUUGAUUCAUUCUAUGUUAAACAAUUAAUAAUAAAAUAGCAAUAAUCAUCUAUGGAUGCACUCUAACCACCAAGCAAUCAACCAAGGCAUCCUAGUUAUAUAAGCAUUCAGCAAAGCCAUAACUAAGCAUGCAACCAAUCAAUCAAUCAUCCAAUCAACCAAGCAUUCAAUCACAAUCUGAAACUAUCCAAACUGUUACCAAGUCAGUUCCGGCCUCCUUCCAUGAUCCUCAACUAUGAAGCACGGGGAUGUCAUUUAGGUCGACGUUUCCGGUACGGAAACGUUUCUGGGACGGGUACUGCUUGGGAAUGGCACGGGCACAGCUUGGGGACGGUGAGAGUAACCGAAGGUCUAAUAACUAAUGGAUUGUGUGUUUAUGAACAUAUUUACGUUAACAUUAUCUUACAUUAAGAUAAUUCAUUACUUUUUUUCUUUAAAAAGUACUAAAACGAAAAGAAACAAAAAUUUAUAACCUUCUUUCUAAUUCUUCUAGUUUGAACUUUGAACUAGAUGAAGCAUAUUUUAAUAAUCAAUGAGUAAACAAAUCAUUUCUUACUAUUGUUAUUACUUAAAAUAGUAUAUUACAUUGUUUUCUUUUAAGAUUAUAGAGUAAUUUAUUUUAGUUUCAAUUUAUGAGUAUAUGUAUAUAUAUUUUUAUAUUAAUAUAUAUGCCGUACCCGUAUCUUUAAAUUUUUAGUUUUGCUGUUUCUCGUCCCCGCUUCCGUACCCGUAUCUGUCCCCGUAUCCGUCCCGGUGCAACAUAGAUCCUCAAUAACGGAAACCUGAAUGAAAACAAUUCAACAAUCAACUGCCGUUACUCACAGUAUUUGGUUCGUUGUGGCUUUGACCCGAAUCCUCGACCAAAAGCUUUUUCCCGAACUCCAAGCUGUUUUUUCUUGAGAACUCCUGGUACUCUACUGUUGCUAGAUCUUAGUACUUCUCCCUGGAGUGAAGUGAAUUCUGGAAAACCUCUGAACCAUCUUCAAAAGAAAGAAAACCCCUUAGAGUGACUUUUGGUGACGAAUGGAAACUCGGAUUUUCCCCCCUCAAGAUGACACUUUUUGAUGAUUCCUUCUUCAGAAUACUUGUUUCUAACUCCCAGAAGAAUACUUUCUCAAACAAUGAGACCUUUGUUUCGCUAUGAUACAUCUAGUGUGAUCAAAUCAAGAAUUGGCUAAUUCUAGACAGGUUUCUGAGGUGGUUUUUGACAAACGUUUUGAGUAGGCUAUUGAUGGAUUUUUAUUCUGAAGUUUGGUGAAGAUAUUCUAUCAGGGAUGAGUUUUGUGAGUUUUUGUAAUGGAGUAGGCUAUGGGUGAUUGAAAAUAACAUGCGGAGUUCUCGGCUACACGAUUCUGGUGAUGGGUAACUGGUUGAAAAGGGUGAUCAAUGGCUAGGUUUUGGGUAUUAUUUAUCUUGUUUGAGGUGAUGAAUGUGUUAAUGAAGGCCUAUGGGUUUAUAUAGUGAAAAAACAGCCAUAUAAAUGUGACAUAUGACUCCCUAGGUGUCGAAAUGCAUAGUUAGAUACACAUGUGUCACGACACGCGACCGCUUGGGUGUCAACUCUAAAUUCUGCACGUUUAACAUGUUUCCCUCUGGAUUUCAUAUCCUGUAUGUCCCUAACAUGUAGCACGACACCUUGUUCUUCUCCUUGACACCUUGUGCUUUUCCUUUAACACUACAUGCUUCUCUUUUAACAACUCGUGCUUCUCUUGUCGCCCCGUGCUUGUUUUGACACUCUGUGCUUCUGACCAAUCAUAUAUUACUACGUCCUCAUGUGUACCAAAUCUUUAGAUUGAACUUAUUGUCUUAAAAAAACCAUGCUGAAGUGCUCCAAACGCCUUUCGUCGCUUAAAUAUCUUAGAUCGCUCGCGACUCGACCACCAAACGUAGAUGCUCAACCAACUUAUAUUUUCUCUGUACCAUCAUGUUUUUAUCCUAACCAAAUGUAUUCUCCUAACCUCCUUAAAUAAUCAAAGCCAUGUUUCUUACAUCUCCUCCAACUUCGAAAAUUCGCCUCGCUCUUCGUCGACCUCCAAUUCAGACUUCUCGACCAAAAACCAAUUCACUCGAGCCAUCUGAAUUUUUUUCUCGGCCAAACGUCUUCAUAUGAUCCAUGCCCACCAUGCCAACCACGAUUUACCUAAUUUAGAGGUAAAACUACUCUAAAACAGGGUCAUUAUAGUGAAAGUCAGAAUGAGGUUGAAAAUGAGAGUGAGAGUGAGGGCGAGAAUGAGGAUGAGGGUAAGAGUGAGAGUGAGAGUGAGAGUGAGAGUGAGAGUGAGAGGUUGAAAAUGAGAGUGAGAGUGAGGGCGAGAAUGAGGAUGAGGGUAAGAGUGAGAGUGAGAGUGAGAGUGAGAGUGAGAGUGAGAGGGUGGGACGGGAUAAAGGUGAGAGUGAAAUCGAUAGAGUAAAUAUACGUGAAAUUGAAAAGGUGAGUACAGGUGAGAGAGAAUUUGAUAUUAUUUAAUCAAUAUAACGUUAGAAAGCUUUGAAAGUUUGACCAAAACUGGCAAAGACUGUGCAAUUGAAAACUAUUUUAUCUAAGUAUAUUAUAAAUAAAAACUAUGAUGAUGUUAAAAAGUUAUCAGAGUGGGAGGGAAAAUAAGAAUGAUAGUGAGGGUGAGGGUGAGGGUGAGGGUGAGGGUGAGGGUGAGGGUGAGGGUGAGAUUAAAGUGAGCGAAUAUAAGUGAAAGCAAAAAAGUGAAUGUAGGUGAAAGAGAUAUUGACAUCGUUUGAUCAAAUACAAUGCGAGAGAACAUUGAAAAUUUGCCCAAAACUGGUGAAGACUUUACAACUGAGAAUUAUUUUAUCUAACGUAAAGCAUAUUAUAAAUAAAAUAAUGUGAUGAUGUAAAAAAGUUAUAAGAGAGAUAAAAUGAGAGUGAGAAUAAGGGUAAGAGUGAGGCAGAUGUGAGAGUGAGUGUGAGUGAGGAUGGGAGUAAAGGUGAGGGUGAGUGGGAGGUGAGAAUGAGAUUAAAGGUGAGGUUGAGGGCGAAGUGAAAUUAAGAGAGUGAAUAUAAAUGAAAGCAAAAGUGUGAAUAUAGCUUAGAGAGAUUUUGAGAUCAUUUGAUCAGUACAACGCUAGAAAGUUUUGAAGAUUUGACCAAAACUGGUGAAGACUUUGCAACUGCGAAUUAUUUUAUCUAAAUUAAAAGAUACUAUAAAUGAAGAUGUGAUGAUGUAAAAAAGUUAUAAGAGUGAGAGCGUGAAUGAUAAUAAGGGUUAAAAUGAGAGUGAGGGUGAACGUGGAAGCGAGUAUGAAGAUGAGAAUAAGAUUAAGAAAAUGAAUAUAAGUAAGAGUGAGAGGAUGGAUGUAGGUGAAAGAUAUUUUGAAUUUAUUUAAUCAAUAAUGUGAUGAAUUAUUUUUUUCAAUUUUAGUCGGCAGAUAUUAUAAAUAAAAUAAUAUAUAUGAUAAUUCAGAAACUAAUAAUAUAUAAUAUGCAAUUGUUAUUGGCUUAUUCCUAUAAAUUCUAUAUAUUAUAUCGCAUUAUAACUGUAUAACACAUAAACAUACAUAUUUUGAAACAUUUAACUUAAUGUUGGAAUAUCACUAAUGUUUGUACAUCAUUUAGUAUUAUGUACUAAUACUUUGUAUCUUCAUGCAUAAAACUGACAUACAAAAGUAUAUAAACUAUGUUUGACAUGCAUAAUCACUUAUAUACUAUUUUAGCUCAUUUUAAUAGUAUUAAUAAAAUCUUGGAAUUAUAAUAAGGUCAAUUCUCUCAAAUAAACCAUUUUUAAGUUUUGUCAUUUUUAAGUUUUGUCACAAAAAGAGCCCCCAAAGAUUAGAAUGACUAAAAUGUUUCAUUAAAUAGGCAAAAGCUUUUAUACCCAAUAUAUAUAAAUAUAAAUAAAUAAAAAGUAAAUGUUUUUUAUAGUGUCAAAUUUUAUGUUUUCAAAUUCGAUCUUUUUAUUAAAAAAAUUCGAAAAUAUUUCUUAUUUUUUCAAAUUUUCCUUUUGAAAUUCGAAAAUGUUUUGAAACUAUUUUUCAAACUUUUAUUUUCAUUUUUAAUAUUUUUUAAUUUUAAAGAUCACUCCCAAAACCCCACCAUUAAAUCUAAACCAUAAGUCUAUAUUAGUUAACUCUAGGGAUAUAAGUAUAUAUUUACCUUUUGAAUAAAACAUUUUGGUCAUUUUAUCUUUGGAGGUUAUAUUUGUGACAAAAACUUUUUCAGGACAAUUCUAGAGAAUUAUUCGUAUAAUAAUGUCUGCAUAUACAUGAUGUAUUAACAUCAUCAAUAUAUAAUAGACAAUUAUUAUUAUCAUAUUUUUACAUAAAUCAUAUCCCCUAAAAAUUAUUUGAGAAGAGAUUUUUUAAAGUUUUCUAAUAUGUCAUCACCAUAUUUAUUUUCAUUAGAAAAAAUGACAAAGCCAAAAGCCAAUUGUGACAUAGACAUUUCCAUUCAAUGUUGAUUUAUAAUUUUGGUAAGCUUUUUGAAAUAAGUUAAUAACUUAUAAAUCAUCAUUAAAUCAAAUAUAUUCAAAUAUAAUAUUAAAAUAAUAUAAAAAGAAAUAAAAUAAUAUUUACCAAAAUUUCGAAAUAUUAUUUAAUUCUCUUUUCGAUAAUUAUAGAAUUUUUAUUACUAAAUAAUUUCUUCAAAAUGUAUGCAAUUUUUAAAAAUUAUAAAUUUCUAAUCUAAUACCAUCAGUUUCCUUUUAAUAUCUAAAUAUUUUUGAAAUACUAUUUAGUUUUACUUUUUAUAAUUAUAUAAAAUAUUAUUUCUAACAAAAUUUGCUUUUAAUCUUAUGCGAUUUUAUUUAAUUUAUUUUAACUUUUUGUCUAAAUUUAUUUUAAAUAAAAGAAGUAUAUACAAAAUCUAGCCGAAAUUAUAAUUUUAGAUAUAUAUAAUGAUUAGUUAUUCAAAUUUAUUUUUAAUAUAAACGGAAUUCAUUAUUUAAAAAAUAGAUUAGUUAUUUAAUUUUUUAAUUUUAGGUUAGGGUAAUUAAGUUAGAUAUAAAUGGAAAUAAUAGAAAAGCUAGUUUUAAUAAAGCAUUUCACUUUUAGAAUAUAUAAAAUAAAUUAAAUACAUUGAUAAAUUUAUUUAAGAGGAAUUCUCUAGGAUAGUUAUUUUUAGUUUAUUUCACAAAAGAGCAUACAAGAAAAAAAAUGAUCAAAAGAAGUUUUAUUGAAGAGUAAAUGUAUUUUUAUACCUUUCGAGCUAAGUUAACUAACUCUAGAUAUUGAAUUUAGAGUUAAGGGGAUUUGGUGGUGGGUAUAAAAUUUUAGAAAAUAAAAAAUAAAUAUUAAAAAUUAAAAAAUAAAAAUUGUAAAGAUAGUUUCAAAAAGCAUUUUAGAAUUUCAAAAGAAAAAUUUGAAAAAAAAAAUUUGAAAAAAAAAUUGAAAAAAUUAUAAAAAGUUCGAAUUUGAAACCAUAUAAUUCAAAAUUAUUUUUAUUUUUAAUUAUAUUUUUUUGUUUUUCUAUUUUUAUUAUUUAUAUAUCUAUAAAGUAAAUAGUAAAAAAGUUUUUUGCCUUUUUUAAUGAAACAUCUUUUGGUCAUUUUCUUCUGUAUGGAUUCUUUUUGUGACAAAAAAAAUUAUUUAAGAGAAUUAUCCUAUAUAUAUAUAAAUAAAUAAAUUAUACAUAUAAAUAAUGUAAUUUUAUAUAUUAAUCAUUUACUAAUCUAUUAAUCAGUUAUACUACUUUUUGAAACUUAUUCAUUUAUAAUAGUUACAUUAAUAAGAACAUAUAACUUCUGAAACAUAUUUGCUAACAUAUUGCUAACGCUUUGUCACUCUAUCCAUCAAGACCCAAGUAUCCAAUAUCAUUUUAAGUCCCCUAAAGCAAAGUUUGAAAAUACAACGAUUUUUAUGUAUAAUUUUGUUUCCGGAUUUCUACUGACAGUUUCUUGAUUUGCAAGAACAAUUUUGAUGGUUAGGAAACUACUAAUGUAACCAAACCCUCAAGAAUCACAUAAGAAAGCACUACAUGCUCAAUUUCAUUAUUCUAUUAGCACAAAAUACAUAAUAUGUCUUGUGGAAAAUCAUUUCUCCGAACCAGUUUGCAUCUCCCCAUAAUUAGCAGCUCUGUUGUUGAAGGCAUUGAGAAGACGGUCGCAAGCUUGUCUUGAAGUUGGUCUCUCCGGAGGAUAAGUUUUUGUGCACUGAAUCGCUAUUUCAAGAACCUGAUAAGCUGCUUCUUCUUCGCAAGGCAAAAGCGGUUUAAGCUCUGAAUCAAUUAGAUUCUCCCUCGCUCUAGAACCAGGUGGCAUCUCAAGACACGUCUCUACCCAUCUUACUAUAUUGGUCUCUUCAUCAAACACUUCAUCUGUUGGCUUUUUACCAGUCACAAUCUCCAUCAACACUAUCCCCAUACUGUACACAUCGCUCUUCUCAGUGGCCUUCAACGAGUAAGCAUACUCUGAAACAAAACAAAACAAAACAAAAGAACAUUAGCUUUAACAGUGGAAAACCAAAUCAAGAAACUCAAGAUAUAAACCUGGUGCAGUGUAGCCAUAAGAGCCAGCAAACAAACUAUGUGAUUCUGUGUUGGUGUCAUUACACUCUUCAGUUAAGAUCUUUGCGAGUCCAAAAUCUCCCAAGUGCGCCUCCAUGUUGGAGUCAAGAAGCACAUUGCUGGUUUUGAUAUCGCGGUGAACUAUAGGAGGAGCACAAUCAAAAUGAAGAUACUCCACUCCUUGAGCCAACCCAAGUGCAAUUUUCAAUCUUGUUUCCCAAUCAAGAACCUGCUUCUUCUUCUCGUGAAGCCAGUCCCAGACGCUUCCGUUCGCCAUGUACUCAUAAAUCAACAGGUUCAAGCCUUCUGCUUUGCUAGUGCAGUAACCCAUCAGCUUAACCAAAUGUCUGUGUCUGAUCGUUCCAAGCGUCUUCACUUCUAUGUUGAAGCUCUUGUUUGACAUCAAAUCAUCUUUCCAGAGAAUCUUCUUCACAGCAAUCGUCUCACCGUUUUUCAAAUCCGCUUUGUAAACUUUUCCUGACCCUCCUGAUCCAAUCAUGAACUCGUCGUCAAGGCCAUGUGUAGCCUCCAUAAUGUCUUCCCACUUUAUAUCCGUGUUUGCAGCUCCGUUUCUAAAGAGAGGAGCUUGUGAAGAAGGAGAAGCGUUUGAUGAGAAUGUGCUGUUUAAAAGAUCAUGACUUUGCUUGCAGAAGAGGACAACCACUAGUACCGUCAAAGCAAUAGCUGCUACUGAAGACAACGCAGAGAUUAUAACUACGGUUUUCGCGCUAAGACCUUGUUGCUUUGAUCCAGCUCUCUUGCAGGGACUAAGAGGGCUUCCACAGAGAUCUGCAUUGCCUACAAAAGCAUCUGCAUGCCAUUUAUAGAAAGGUUUCUUUAACCUGCCCGUUAGGUUGUUGUAAGAGAGGUUGAGAUAUCCUAAACUCUUCAUAUCCCCUAUUGGCCCAGGAAUGUCUCCGACAAGGUGAUUGUGAGACAGAUCAAGAGAUUCAAGCUUAUGUAACGUCGAAAUGGUUGAUGGAAUGUGUCCGGUGAAGUUGUUGUAGCUGAGAUCUAAAGCACUUUGAAGAUCUUGAAGCUGUCCAAUCUCAACAGGGAUGUCUCCGGUUAAGAUGUUUCUCGAUAACCGAAGCUCGUAAAGCUUGCUCAGCUUUCCUAUGGCUGAAGGAAGCUGACCUGAAAUCUGAUUCUUUCCGAGGUUAAGCACAUUGAGAGCUUCCAAGUUCCCAAUCUCUUGUGGUAUAGAGCCGUUAAGUGAGUUACCAUCAAGAGAUAGCACAAGAAGCUUGGUUAAGUUGAAAAUCUCACUAGGGAGUGAACCGGUGAGCUGGUUUGAAGAAAGCUUGAGCUCACCCAAGAAAGGAAGCUUUCCAAGCCACGGAGGUAUAACCCCUGAAAUAAAGUUAUCGCUGAGAUCAAUGAGUGUCAGAUUCUUACACAAACCGAGCUCUACUGGUAUGGUUCCAGUCAGAGAAUUGCUUGAGAUAUCCAAUAAAGACAGUGCAUUGAUCUUCCCUAAUGUCCAAGGGAUUCUUCCUGUGAAUUGAUUCUUCCCUAACCUUAACCGCUCGAGGCUCGGAGACUUCCCUAGAUCAAGAGGUAUAUCUCCCUGGAAUCUGUUGUCCGUGAGAUCGAAGGAGAGAUAAGAGCUUGAACCGCACAAGGGACUGAUGGAGCCAUCGAGGGUGUUGUUUGAGAAAUUGAUUCUUGUGAGAUUCUUGAGGUUGAUAAGUGAGCUCGGAAGGUCCCCCUGAAGAGAGUUGUUGUAAAGGUGAAGCUGGUCCAAGGCCGUUAAGAAGCCGAAGGAGGAAGGGAUCGAACCGGUGAGGUGAUUAUCAGCUAAAUCAAGAAGCCUCAGUUGGUGACAGUUACCUAAAGUGGCGGGAAUGUUACCAGAAAACUCGUUCUCUCUCAAGUGAAGCCAAGUAAGAUCUUUCAAUCUUCCUAUCCAAGAAGGAAUCUCUCCACUGAAAUGAUUCCCAUACGUGUCAAUCUGCUGCAGACUCGUGCAGUUCCCAAUCUCAACCGGGAUUUCACCGGAAAACCGGUUGUCGUGAAGUAACAGACGUUCCAGUUUGCUGAGAAAACCGAUCUCUUUUGGUAACUUCCCCUCCAAGGCAUUGUGAGACGGACCAAACUCUUGUAGGUUCGUUAGGUUAGAUAUAGAUGGAGAUAACGUGCCUUUCAAGCUACAGUUGUUAAUAUAUAAAACCGUGAGUUCGACGAGGCGAAACAACGAGUCGGGAAUUUGACCGGUGAGCGUGUUGUUAGACAAGUUAAGCUCUUGUAAUGACCGACAUUUGCUGAUUUCUGUCGGAAUCUCGCCGGAAAGCUGAGUUUCAGACAAAAGCAGUAGCUUUAGAUUUGUGUUGUUAGAACAUAAGCUCUUUGGUAAGGAGCCAGAGAGAGGAUUGUACUCUAGAACCAGAUACUCGAGCUGAUUCAUGUUCCAGAACUCUUCAUGUAUCCCUCCGGUGAGACUGUUCUUGGACAAAUCAAGGAUUGUGAGACUUUUCAACUCCGUUAAUGUCUUUGGAAUCGAACCUUUAAGUUUGUUACCGAUCAAGUAAAGGUGUUUGAGGCUGCGCAGAUCACCGAGUUGACUCGGUAUCUCUCCGGAGAAGCAGUUGUUUGCCAAAUUGAGUGACUCGAGGUUUCCGAGUCGACUCAGCUCCGCCGGUAACGAUCCGUUGAGGCUGUUCACCUCCGCGGAGAACGUAACGAGGUUGGUACAGUUUCCUAACUCGGGUGGAAUCGGUCCUUCGAGGUAGUUAUGUCGUAGAUACAAAUACUGCAUCUGAACGAGUCGACCGAGUUGACUCGGUAUCGGACCGGUGAGUCUGCACGCAGCUAAUCCGAGAGUCUGGAGAUUGUCGAGAUUCCCUAACGUCUCCGGGAUUGAUCCGACGAGGUCGUUGUUUCCGAUUUUUAACCACUUGAGAUUCACGAGUGAACCGAGUUGACUCGGUAUCUCGCCGCUGAGUAGGUUAGAGAAGAGAUGCAGAGUCUCCAAAGAAGAAGAGAGGUUGGAGAGAGAAGCUGGGAUGGGACCUACGAGACUGUUGGACGAUAGAUCGAGGUCGAUUAGGUUAUCAAACCGGCCAAUAGAAGGAGAGAUUGAACCGGUUAAGUUUAAACCGGAGAGAUUUAAACCGAUGACUUCACGACCACCGCACGUGACGCCGGUCCAGUUGCAGAAAUUGGAAUCAUCGGAGUUCCAACUCCGGAGAACCUUUUCCUCCUUUGGGUUUGUGACAAGAGACUUCUUCACUUGGAGGAGAGUUUGGAGAUCGUUGCUUUGACCCGGUUGACCCGAACCCAAACCGACUGAAAAACAGAGGAAACACAGAACAAGAAGAGAGAGUCGCUGCAUUGUUAUUGCUUCUUACUUCUUCUUCUUCGGGAAACAAGAAGUGUAUGAAAGUGAAAGAAGAUUCCACUGGUGAUUAGUAGAAGUGAGACUAGUGUUGGGAAAAAUAGAGAGUUUAAGAGAAUUGUUGGUUUUUUUGGUUGAAGUUGAUGAAACAGAGAUGAUUGGUCGUAAGGACGGUGCAUGGGGGACGACUCUCUCUCUCUCUCUCUAUAGAAUAUAACACGCUCAAAUGUUUGAUGUGUGGUGAGUUGCAAGAGAAGUAAAUGCAGAUAAAGCUUUGGGAUCGGCUAUAAAAGAAGGCUAAAAGCCUAAAACUACAUAGUAUAGCCUUUUAAAAUGACGACACGCGGGUGUCUCUUUAUAUCUUCUGUCGUUUCGCUUUGAUUAAUUAUUGACAGUGUGUGUGUGUGUGUAAUUAAAGGGAAAUGAAUGAAGCAAUGGGAAAGAGCAGACGAAGGUCAACGAGGGUCAGAUGAGAGGCGUUGGAAAAUGCAAUUGCAAGUUUCUUACAUUUAUGUUGCGACUGUGCCAUUGUCUCUUUGUGUUCUUUCUAUAAAUGCUCAUAGUGAUGAGAUGUUUCGGAUUAGCUGAUUUUAGAUUUUAUUAGUAGAAUUGAAAUUGCAAAUGGUUUCAAAAUCCUGAAAACUUUUUGUUGAAUGUUUUUGCAAAAUAAAAAUUUGAAAUUUAUCUUUGUUUUUCAAUUACUGUGUGUCCAUUUAUAAAAAAUUGAAAAAUACUACUAGUAUUUUAUUCUUGUUCAUAUAGAAUAUGAUAGCGUGACACACAGUAAAAGAGCCGUAAAAAAUAUGCUGUUGUGUUUCGAUUUAUCCAUCUUUAACACAAUUUAUUUCCAUUUAUCUACAAAAUUCAGCUUCAUGAGAAUUUUAGUUGUGUAAGUAAUGAUAAUGUGGAAGGAGACUAAUGACAAUGAAAUAAAUAAGUUAUAUUGUAUAUAUAUAUAAUGAAAGAACGAUAUGGCUUUGAGCAUGGCCAAUGCAAGAGAGCGGUUGAGACGACAGAACGAUAACUUGGUUGAAGGGUACUUCUUCAAAAACAUUACUCUGUUGUGAAGUCUGUUUAGCUUCAUAUGACUCGAGAAGUCCUCUUAUGAGAAAUUUGAGAAGUUGCUUUUCUAUAUUUACCCCUUAGAUUUUCAUGUAUAUUGUUCGGCAUUUAUUUAUAUAUACUCUUUUGUUUCAUAAAAAUGUCAUUCUAGCUUAUUUUUUAUUUCAAAAUAUACCAUUCUACAUUUUUAAUGUAAUUUUAUAUAUUAAAUAUUUUUUUACUUUUUUAGCAACCAAUAGAUUUUUAUUUAAAUCAUCUCUUAUUUAAUUAAUUGUACAUUAAAUAAAAAUAUAUUAAUCUUUUAUACAGUUUUUUAACCUCCAUCAAAAUGUAUCUUGACACUUUGUAAAAACAAAGAGAGUAUAAUAUACAAAUUUACAGUUAUAUGCUAAAUAAUUGUUUGUCUAGAUAUAAAGAUAGGAAAUCUAUGCCUUGUGGAAUAACCCAAAUUUUAUAGUGAAGUAAAACCACAGUCUAGAUUCCUAUGAACUCUAAAUUUUGAACAAAACAGUAUUAUGUUUGUCAUCACCACCAAACCCAGCAACACAUUGGUUCGUUCUAACUUGUUUCUCUUUGAUAUUACCCCAUUUAAUAAAAGAUUUUGCAGAUGUCAUCUUUGACAUAAACGCAGAAGCAUCCAUUUCUGAGUUUUUUUUUUUUGCUUAAAGGAUAUAGAGAUAUAAGUUUAAAUGAAGGUUAAAACUUUUUGAUUAACAAAAAAAAUUGUAUUCUUCAACAAUUCAUUGUGUUUUAGAUAUGUAUAUAAUUAUGUUUGGUUUAUCAUAUUCUAAAAUGGAUAAGUUUAUCAACAUCUGGUUUGAAAAGGGUGAAAUGUCAUAUUCAAAUUGGUUAUUUUUUAGGGAAAGAUAAAGUGUGAAACCCUUAUCUUAUGGGAAACAAUUAUAUUUUUACUUAGUGUGAUGUUCUUAUUUGGGGAGUUCAUUCCUGAAGUAUGCUUAUUCUCGGUUUACAUGGUUAAUUGUCUUUUAGCAUGUAGUUAGGUCGCUGAAUCAAAUCCAAUUGCUUAUAUUUGUUUACAUACACUUUGUCUAACAAUAUCAUCUUCGGCUUUAUUUGGCCCCUACUGAUAAAACCUACCCCUAAAUAAGACAAUAUAGAUAAUCAAUCCAUCUCAUCGGUUUGUGCCUUUGCUGCUUUUUUAAAUAUGAUAUGGUUGAUCACGUUUACCUCCAGUUGUACUUGAAAGAUAACUCGUGGAGAAAGUACAUCUUUACGUGACACAGUUUUGCAGGUUUUUUAGAUUAACGAUUAACAAAUAUAUUUUUCUUUUUCUAUAAUGCCAAUAAAAUUCGAAUCUCUACCAGUUUUCAAAGGAAAUGAAAUAACGAAAUGGUAUAUAUAUUGUUUGAUGUCAAACUAACAUAUGUUAAUUAAUAAAUUUUUGGUUCUGAACGGUAAUAUCUUUUCAAAUCUUAAAUCAGUUAGGUUAGGUAAUGCUAUUUUUUGAUCAGCCAAAAAAAGUUGUCAACCAUUCAGUGUCCUUUACAUAUAAAUAAAACCUUUACAAAAGAGAUAAAUUUGUAAUUGUAAUGUUAAGUUAGCAAAGCUUUCAUAGCUCAGUUGGUUAGAGCACCCGUUUAGUAAGCGGGAGGUCUUGAGUUCAACUCUCAAUGAAAGCAAAUUGUAUUUUAAUUUUUCAUUUUGUACUUUUAUAUUGUAAAACUUCCGAAUGAUACCCCCACUACAUUCGCCGACUUUUUAUUUAUAGCGUCUCUCGUUUCGCAGUCUCGCCGUCUCCGACUCACUAAUCGCUUCUCUUUUGCGGUACGUUUCCCUCUCCUUUUCUUCUUCUCCGCUGACAUUCGAUGGAUAGUCUCAGCGCUGAUUGUGGAAAUGGUUCCCUCAGUUUUUUUUCACUGGAGCAGGGAACGUGUUCGAUGAAAUGUUUCAGAGAGUAUUUCUUGGAUCCAUAACGAAAUGCUAUCUGUUUUUUUUUCUCUCCGUUAUUUCUUAUUGCGCUUGUAACAUCGUUAUGAUCUUUUUCGUGAAUAUAGACCAAUUCCUCCCGUUGAACUGUAGAAACUUUACCCAGAUUCGUCUGGAUCUCAUGCUGAUGUUUCAGUUUCAGAUAGAGAUCUCCUGUCUUUAGAGACUAAAGUUAAGGAAACUGGACCCAGUUAUGAAGGAUCGUUGCUUAGUUCCCGUAUUUAAGCUUAAAGUGUGUACCUUUGUAUGUGACAUUUACCCAUCUUGGAUUUAAUAAUAAUAUCACUGAGUCUCGUGAUUGAGAUCUUUAGUCUUUUUGUUUAACUUAUCAGCAUAAAAAUGUGUUGGUUUUGCAAAUUGGUUGAUCAUGUUUCUUGCUUUUAACAGGUAGUUUUUGAAGGAAAGAUGGCUAGUGGUAGCCUGAAAAAUCUUGUAACUUCAGCAGUCACUGUUGGUGUGACCGAAGCUAGAGCAAGGAUUUUCGGACAUAUGCUUAACCCAACAGGGCAGAGGUCUCCUCAUAAGAUCUUAAGGAAGAAGCUUUUUGGUGAUAAGGUUGCAGAGUGGUAUCCAUACGACAUUAAGAAUGAGGAUCCCAAUGUCUUGGCUAGAGAAGAAAAAGAGUACUCCCUAUAAACUUCUUCUUUUAAGUUGUUUAUUUACUUUUCCCUAUUUAGUGCAAACCAGUGUAGUCAACAACAUGUUAUCAAGCAUGCCUUAAAGUAGACUUGAGUAGAAGCAAUGCCUAGUUAAUAUAUUUCAAUAAAGCUAUGCCUCAAUUGCAAAUAAUGUUUAUGCAAUUUGUGUUGAGUUGAGUUGGUGGGGUAGUAUUUGAUAGGCCUGACGUUAGUCCAGUGUACGAGAAUUGUAAUCAUCCAAGUGGUUGAGUGUUUUAACAGGCAGAAGGGCUGAGUCUUUUGGAUUGAUUUAGGAGAAUUUAUCAUACUGUUCGUCUUUGGUGGUCUUCCUUGCUUCAGUUUGUACUCUGUUCUUCUUCCGUAAUUGAUUCAGAAAGUCAACAAACGGAGAAUCAUUUCUGGUUUGCUCGGUAGUUUAUGAAAUUCAGGGCAUGAGAAAGCACGUAGUCUUAUGACAUGAAUGGUUGUGUUAUGUGAGGCUUAUGCCGAGCUGUGUACGCAAAGUAGCUUUAGGACAGUAGAAUUGAUUUUCUCUUAUUUUGUGGAAGAUAAUAUUUUAGUAGCUUUCUAACUUGAGAGUUUGUGUAUUAUUGUAGGCGCUUAUCGAAGCUUGAGAUGUUGAAGCGUCGUAAUAAGGGACCACCACAGAAGGGUCAUGGAAGACGUGCUGCGAAGCGUAACAAGUAGAAUAAGUAGGGAUUGUAGCUUCCUAAAAAAAAAAAAGCUCAGCACUUUCAGUAUCAGAUUCUGUUGGUUAAUAAUGUCAACUAGAACUUUCUUCAUUAGCGAAGUCCUCUCAACAUAAAAUCUUCAUGCUUAAACUAUGCAUUAGUUUACAAUGAUCUUACAAAGCUAUUUGCUUCCCUUUUGACUUGAUAUGGCUUUUGUUUCUCUAUUUUUCUUUUGUCUGCUUUUUUUAAUUCCUUACUCUUUAGGGUGUGCAAGCUGAUAAACUUGUGCUGUGUCAUAACUCAACCGUUGAUUUAAUUACCGAGCUACGCGUAUGAGCUGUCGAUGACAAAGACAUUUUUUUUUUUUGUAAAAUGUUGAUAACAUUCCAUUGAACGGUAGUCUUACAAAGUUGAAAAAAAAAAAAACCGAAUCUUAGAGAUGGUGGUAGCGUGGUAGUGGUAGGUGUAACCUGUCUGCUAAUAUAGUGCACGUGUGUUUAUUCAUUCUACUACCUCUCACUCCUAAACAAAAAGAUUAGUUUAAAGUCUUUGUAGGACUGUGUCAGAGAGAGUCGGCGCAGAGAGAGAGAUAGAGAUGGAGGAAGCUCUGAAGAUUCAGUCUUUGUUCAUCUAUCCGAUCAAAUCUUGCCGUGGAAUCUCCGUCCCUCAGGCAACCGUCACUCAGACUGGUAAUUCAAAGAACAAACUUCUUCUCUUUGUAACAAUUAGUAAUGAGAAAAUUACCCUUUAGAUCACUUUUGGGUUCUUUGAAUUUGGUGAGUAAUAUGUUAUGGGCUCGAUAAAAUAGAACUUAUGAGAAAGUGAACAGUUUUAUAAGAUUCCCAUGAGUGUUGAUAGGGGACUGUUGGACUAUGAGGUUGGCUUAAUCUGUUGAAACUGAUAUAUGCAGGGUUUCAAUGGGACCGGUACUGGUUAGUGGUGAACUACAAAGGAAGAGCAUACACUCAAAGAGUUGAGCCAAAGCUUGCUCUUGUCGAAUCCGAGCUGCCUAAGGAAGCCUUCUUGGAAGACUGGGAGCCAACAAAAGACACAUUUUUGGGUAAUUACUGUGUUAAUAAUUUACAUAUACUCUUGUCUGAACCUGAGACUCAGAAUUGAUUGUCUUGAUUAUUUCAUUUUGGCAGUGGUAAGAGCUCCAGGUAUGAGUCCGUUAAAGAUUCCAUUGACUAAACCGAGCUCGAUAGCAGAAGGUGUGUCCAUGUGGGAGUGGUCUGGCUCUUCUUUUGAUGAGGGAGAAGAAGCUGCAAAAUGGUUUUCAGAUUAUCUUGGCAAACAAAGCCGUUUGGUUCGGUUUAAUAAAGGUUUUAGCUUCUUAUUCUUUUCAUUUUGCAACAGAUUUGAAAUGCACAUAGUUGAUCAACUUCUUUCUUGAUACAGAAACUGAAACCAGACCUUCACCUCCAGAGUUCGCAGCAGGCUACUCUACAACAUUUGCAGAUAUGUUUCCGUUUUUGUUUGCAUCUCAGGUGAGCAAUUAAUGAUAGUUACAGUAUCAGAUUAGUGAGAAUGUGCAUUUGAUCUUCUUUUGUCUUGCUUGAUGUUCCUAGGCUUCUUUAGACCAGCUGAAUACACUCCUACCAGAACCGGUGCCUAUUAACCGUUUUCGACCCAAGUAAAAUACUAUCAUUCAUUCCGAGUUCUUAAUCUCUUUGAUGAUGGUUGUUUCGUUUUGUUGUGAUCUUGAUUUUUCUUUGAUUCUCUUGUAGUUUUCUUGUCGAUAACUGUGAUCCUUUUGGUGAAGAUCUUUGGGAUGAAAUCAAGAUUAACGAAUUAGUCUUCCAAGGAGUAAGGCUGUGUAGCCGCUGCAAGGUGAGUAUCCAACACUCAGAUUAUCAACUCUGAGGCUUUUAAAAAACUGUUAUUGUUGUUCUUUUAGGUACCACUGGUGAAUCAAGAAACCGGAGUUCCAGGUGCAGCAGAACCAACUGAAACUCUGAUGAAAUUCAGAUCAGACAAAGUCUUAAUGCCAGAUAAGAAGGCGCGUGGAAAGGUUAGAUAUUGUCUGGUUUUGUGUGGGAAGAGACUUGUACUUGGAUCCUGUCUGAUGCUUAAACCGGUUCAAUAAAUUUUGUGACAGGUUUACUUUGGUAAGGAGAUGGUUUGGAACUGGAACAUAAGCAACAGUGAAGGCAAAGGCAGCAAGACAAUCAGAGUUGGUGAUACCAUCUCUGUUCUAAAGAUGAUGACUUCCAUAACUGAAGCAGCUGUUUAACUCUCAACAUAUUUGCUUUCUUUCUUUUUCUUCUUAUUAUGUGUGUUAUCUUGUUCUUGUGUCUAAACUAUAGUCAAGAUAGAUGAUUGCUUGAUUGCUCAUCUGAAUCAAACAAACUUCACUUGUUCUGAGAGAUACAUCUUGUCGAAUAUGUGAUAUGAUGCUUUUCUGUUUGACUAGUUUAAACUGUGCAAUAUAUUAGAUUCUUACUUAUUAGAGAGGUCUCUCUUUUAAAACAUCUAAAUAGCAAUCACAGAGGCAAAGAAUCAAACUCUAGAAAAAUAUACUCUGAUAUUAAAGACAAAGAUACAUAAAAAGAAUAUAAAGUCAGUACCAGACAUGAAUUAUACUGUUAUUAAGACGCCAACUAAACUGAAUAAACCUAAAUACGACUCUCUAGGUCUUGGAGCCAUCAUCGGUCUUCUAACAUAUUUUUUCAUAACAUUAAUGUGUCUUAAGACAGGAGGACAGUACUGAAUGAAUCAUAUGAUUUGGGCUUGGUGCAAACAAAAGGAUGUUUCAACAGAUCCGCUGCGGUGGCUCUGCGUGAGGGCUGCAACGCCAUGCACCGCCUCAAGAAGUCGUUGGCCAGCGGAGAUACUAGUCUCGGAAGCCUCCACCUGUAGCAUUCUCCCAUCUUCACUGGAUAGCCUCCAUACAUCUGAAGCACAACACACCCUAGAGCCCACAUGUCAACAGCCGGUCCAAUCAUCUUCACUCGGUUGGGUCCCAAAGACUCAGGGGGCAUGUACUCCUUUGUACCGCCAGACAAGGAGGACCUUGGAUUCGUACAAGAAGGCUCCUUAGAUAGACCGAAGUCAGCAAGCUUGAGAUCCCACGGCUCUCCGACAAUCUUGGAAGGAAAGAGGAGAACGUUAGCCGGCUUGAGGUCGCAGUGAACGUAGCCGUGAGAGUGAAGAGCCUCGAGGCCUUGAAGGAUCAUGAGAGCAGCGCGUCUGAUCAAAACCUCAGGCACUGGUUGGCCAUUGAAGUGGGAGAUGAAGUUGUGGAGAGUACCUUUGGAGGCAAACUCCAUGUAGAUAUAACAAUGGUCGAGGUUGAUACCUAUGUGAAGAUUAGGGUUUGUGGUUUGGACGAUGCGUGGAUGGUUACGGAAACGAAGCAUGAUCCUAUGCUCUUUCUUGAGACUCUCCAUGUAAGAUAUUGGAGAUGAUUUCUCAGCGUGUAACCUUUGUUUGGAGUCUCUUAUGAGAGCGACCGAACCAAAACUACCUCGGCCAAGAAAACAGACAAACUCUAGUACUGAAGAAGAUUGGCCAACAACAUUCGGAGCUUUGCUGUUGUUGUUGGUGUUGUCUUCCUUAAUCAUCACCAUCUUGGUAAUACUCUGUAAUUAGGGUUUUUGACUCUAUUUUGUGUGUUUGUUUUUGGUUUGAGAAACAAGUAAUCGAAUCAAUGAUAGCUUUAGAGAGGAGUCUCUAGCGUUCUUAUUUAUAUGAAGCUACUUGAGUACGUUGUUCACUAUUCGCUUUGGGUUUUCACUCUUUCCUUUUGUUUUUGUUGAUUAUCAUGUUUAAUUUUUUUUGAACUAAAUUAUCAUGUUUAAUUUCCUUUUUAGUUUCUACCUUUUGUUUUCGUUGGUUAUCAUGUUUAAUUCUUCUUGAACUAAAUUAUCAUGUUUAAUUUCCUUUUUAGUUUCUUCUUUCCUUUUUUUUUUUGUUAUUCCUCAAAGUUUCAAUUGAUUUUCAAAUUUGCAUUCUUAUUUAUCUUAUUUAUAAGAAGUUGAGUCUGUUAAAUUGUUCACUGUUUCCUUUUUAGUUGUAUAUUUCUUUUUUAAUUUUUCUUAUUUCUCAAAAUUUAAAUUGAUUUUAAACUUAUUUUUAUUGGUUUUCAGUUUUUGAUUUUUGAUUUUUGAUUUUUAAUUUUUGAUUUUUGAUUUUUGAUUCAGUUUUUAGAUUUUGGGGUUUUCAAUUUUUAGUUUCUGAUUUUUCUGUAUAUUUUAGCUUUUCGAAAAACUUGGAUAGAUUUUAGAAAAUUAAUAGCAGUAUUAAAUUUUUUUUUUUUGAAAACCAACAUAAUUUGAUGAAAAAGUUAACAGAUGUAGUUUUUGGAUUUUCUUUUAAAAUUAUGGAAAAAAAACUUAAAACCAGCUUCCUUUCAUUGAAUGAAAUCUAUUUAUCUUUUUUUUUGGUCAAAGGAAAUCUAUUUAUCUAAAAGUUUGAUUCGGUAAAAAGUGGUUUUUUUUUUUCAAAAACAAACCCGAAACUACUUCAAGAUCAGUAAACAAUCAACACCUUAACCUGGCUUAUGAACUUGUGUUUGUACCAAUAAACAUUUUACUUCAGAAAAUCGUAUUUUAAUUCUUAACUAGAUUUUGACCCGCGCUUUCAAAGCGCGGGAUUAACUCUUUCUAAAAAUAUCAUUUUAUAACAUAUUAUAUUUAUAACAUUUAUAUUUUUAUAAUUGUUUUUUGUUAUAUGUGUAGUAAUUAUUUUAUAUAUUUAGGAUGAUAUGUAUUGAGAUAUAAAUAUAAUAAUAUAUAUAAUGACUCAUAUUUUAAAAGCGCGAGAUUUGUUUCUUUUAAAAAUCAAAUAAAAAUAAAUAAAUAUUUGUUAAUUGUAACCUUAUGUGUUAUUUGAUAACUAAUUUUUUUAAUAUGCUGAUGUUUUAUAGUAAUACAAAGUAAUUCUGAAGAGUUGUUUUUAAAAAAUAGUUCCUUGUAUUAAUAUUUUUAGUUUAUUGUAAACUAUUAAAUCCCAAAUAUCCUUUCGUAGAAUAUUUUAAAAGGUGAUUAAAAGAAAUACAAACAAAAUUUUGAAUCCAUUUUUAUGUUUUACUGUUUUUAAAAUGGGUUUUCUAAUUUUUUUUGGUCAAAAAAAUCAAGUAUUUAAAUGAACAUCGAAUUCGUGAAACCCACCCACAAGUAAUCCAGCUUCUUCGACAUAUGACCGUAUGGUCUUACCAAAAAAGAAACAAACGGAAAGUACUAAUAAAAAAUUAUAUUCAUAUUUUUUGCAUGGUUAAAGUGCUAAUACUAUGUAAAUAGCAUAUAUGUCAUAAAUCGAUUUUAGUAUAGAUCUUUGAAGUAUACAUAAAAAUAAUUGUAAUCUGAUUGGGUUUCUAAUAAAGUCGAAAUGGGCUUGAAAUCCCAACCUUUUUUACUACCAAAAUGGGCUUGUAAAUUCGUUUUUAAAUACUUGUUUCUGACUGGUGCAAUUAAUGUGGCUGAAAACCAUUUAAAAAAUUCAAAAAGAUAAUGGCAAUUUUUGUAAUUAAUUGAAAAAAUCAGGGACAUAAUCCUAAAAAAGAUUUUGCUUUAAUAGUAUAGAUCAUUAGCUCACUAUACAAGUUUGAGUUACAAACCUUUACACCUGUUCAAUAAACCACAUUCAUUUAAGAAGAAUCCAAAACUGAUAUAAUAGAUGGCUCGGCAGUAGAUGCAGCCCUGACUCCAAGUUUUGAGUCUUUGUUUUGUGUUACUAUUAAGUUUCGAGUCUUCCAUUCUAAGUCUCAAGUAAACUAAAAAAGGGAACCUUGGGGUCUCAUUCUG